rnacentral:rRNA from 1 species
UAAUUGAAGAGUUUGAUCAUGGCUCAGAUUGAACGCUGGCGGCAGGCCUAACACAUGCAAGUCGAGCGGCAGCGGGGAGUAGCUUGCUACUCUGCCGGCGAGCGGCGGACGGGUGAGU